GCUCGUUUGUCUUAUUGGUAGUGCGCAAGGCUCUUAACCUUAAGGUCGUGGGUUCGAGCUCCAUCGUGAGCG
rnacentral:tRNA from 1 species